CCUACGGGAGGCUGCAGUGGGGAAUAUUGGACAAUGGGGGGAACCCUGAUCCAGCCAUGCCGCGUGUGUGAAGAAGGCCCUCGGGUUGUAAAGCACUUUCAGUGAGGAAGAACGCCUGGUGGUUAAUACCCAUCAGGAAAGACAUCACUCACAGAAGAAGCACCGGCUAACUCCGUGCCAGCAGCCGCGGUAAUACGGAGGGUGCGAGCGUGAAUCGGAAUUACUGGGCGUAAAGCGAGCGUAGGUGGCUUGAUAAGCCGGUUGUGAAAGCCCCGGGCUCAACCUGGGAACGGCAUCCGGAACUGUCAAGCUAGAGUGCAGGAGAGGAAGGUAGAAUUCCCGGUGUAGCGGUGAAAUGCGUAGAGAUCGGGAGGAAUACCAGUGGCGAAGGCGGCCUUCUGGACUGACACUGACACUGAGGUGCGAAAGCGUGGGUAGCAAACAGGAUUAGAUACCCCUGUAGUC
rnacentral:rRNA from 1 species